UAUCUUGUUUGCUGCUAUUCUUGGAAACAAAACUGCUAUUACCGGGGGUAGUGGGAAAGUUGUGGACAGUGGUCCGAAUGAUCACAUCUUCAUAUACUACUCCGAUCAUGCUGGUCCUGGAGUACUUGGGAUGCCUACCAGUCCCUAUAUUUAUGCAAACAGGCUCAUAGAAGUUCUAAAGAAGAAGCAUGCUGCAGGGACAUAUGAAAGUUUGGUAUUUUAUCUUGAAGCUUGUGAAUCCGGAAGUAUCUUUGAGGGUCUUCUUCCUGAAGGUUUGAAUAUCUUUGCAACUACAGCAUCAAAUGCAGAAGGGAGCAGUUAGGGGACUUACUGCCCGGGAGAGUAUCCUAGUCCUCCC